rnacentral:snoRNA from 1 species
AUGCAUUUCUGACAGCCCUAGAGCAGUUAAUGUCUGCUGCUAAGGUUUCCACUAUAGAUGCAAGAAAAAAGUCCUUGUGCUGUCUGUCUGUGGCAGCCAAGAUUUGAAUGAGGGAAUACAAGA